GAUGAACGCUGGCGGCGUGCCUAAUACAUGCAAGUCGAGCGACCAGACGAGGAGCUUGCUCCUCUGCCGUUAGCGGCUGACGGGUGAGUAACACGUAGAUAACCUACCUCUAAGACUGGGAUAACUUCGUGAAACCGCAGCUACUACUGGCUCAUAUCUUGAACCGCAUGGUUCAAUAGUUAAUGACGCUUUUCCUGUCACUUUUAGAUGGUUCCGCGCGGCAUUAGCUAUUUGGUAAGGUAACGGCUUACCAAGGCAACGUUGCGUGGCCGACCUGAGGGGAUGAUAAGCCACACUGGAACUGAGACACGGUCCAGACUCCUACGGGAGGCAGCAGUAGGGAAGCUUGCGCAAUGGGCGAAAGCCUGACGGAGCAACGCCGCGUGAGUGAUGAAGGGCUUCGGAUCGUAAAACGCUGUUAUUAGGGAAGAACAAAUGUGUAAGUAACUAUGCACGUUUUGACGGUACCUAAUCAGAAAGCAACGGCUAACUACGUG
rnacentral:rRNA from 1 species